rnacentral:rRNA from 1 species
UACCAGCACCCCGAGUGGUCGGGACAUUUAUUGGGCCUAAAGCAUCCGUAGCCGGUUCUACAAGUCUUCCGUUAAAUCCACCUGCUUAACAGAUGGGCUGCGGAAGAUACUAUAGAGCUAGGAGGCGGGAGAGGCAAGCGGUACUCGAUGGGUAGGGGUAAAAUCCGUUGAUCCAUUGAAGACCACCAGUGGCGAAGGCGGCUUGCCAGAACGCGCUCGACGGUGAGGGAUGAAAGCUGGGGGAGCAAACCGG